AGAUGUAAGGGUGAUGUAAGGUCUGUGACACGAUUCCACUGAUCGCAGAAUUGAUCUAGCCAAUCUGGCUUGCUAGGUGGGUACCCUCUUUUUCCCUCACUGAUCCACAUAUGCCCCCCCACACAAACCUACAUGGUCUGUCAAAGAGGACAACCUUUCCCAGUAGAGGAGGAUGGGUGUUCAAUGCAGAGUAGUGAGUGACUGUGCUCUCCUGUUAAACACUCCAAACAAGCUAUCAAGAAUGUACGCUAAAGGCCAGGCAAGGUGGCACACACCUUUAAUCCCAACACUCAGGAGGCAGAGGUGGAAGGAUCUCCGUGAG
rnacentral:snRNA from 1 species